UUACACUGUAUUUUAACUUAUGAGUAAUCAUAUACUUAAUGAAAAACUUAAUCUAUCAUGAAGAACAAAGUAAUAAGAGGACGAUAUUUUCUUUCAAGCAGCUGUGUGACCUUGGAUUAUCUGUGGAACUUCAUUGUGCUUCAGUUUUGUCACCACUCAAAUGGAUAAUAUGACUAAUUGUCUUUACAUCUCAAGAGACUACUGUGAGUGUAAAGACGAUUACUGAUGAUCAACAGCAAUGAAAAGUUACAUGACUGUGAAAAGGUCAUCCUUUCGUUUUGGACCGGGCAACUCUACUGUAGACUGGGAUAUAACUAUGGACAAGGAGACUUCUAACAAACAAUGGGUAGAGAAAGUCGGAAAAAAGAAACAAACCAAGGAAAUACUAAUAUUGAAUCUACAUGAUCUUGAAAAAUUUGAGAAUCUAACAACGCAUUUCUAGGCAAGUCUCUUUGUCAGUAAAAUAAAUAAAAAGCUCAAAAUUAUUUGGCA
rnacentral:lncRNA from 1 species